rnacentral:rRNA from 1 species
CGGGGUGAGUAACGCGUGGAUAACCUGCCUCACACAGGGGGAUAACAGUUAGAAAUGACUGCUAAUACCGCAUAAGCGCACAGUACCGCAUGGUAUAGUGUGAAAAACUCCGGUGGUGUGAGAUGGAUCCGCGUCUGAUUAGGUAGUUGGUGGGGUAACGGCCCACCAAGCCGACGAUCAGUAGCCGACCUGAGAGGGUGACCGGCCACAUUGGGACUGAGACACGGCCCAA